CCUACGGGAGGCAGCAGUGAGGAAUAUUGGUCAAUGGGCGGGAGCCUGAACCAGCCAAGUCGCGUGAGGGAAGACGGUCCUAUGGAUUGUAAACCUCUUUAGUCGGGGAGCAAUGCCGGGCACGCGUGCCCGGAGGGAGAGUACCCGCAGAAUAAGCCUCGGCUAACUCCGUGCCAGCAGCCGCGGUAAUACGGAGGAUGCGAGCGUUCUCCGGUUUUAUUGGGUUUAGAGGGUGCGUAGGCGGAUUUUUAAGUCAGCGGUAAAAUGUCCGGGCUCAACCCGGGCCGGCCGUUGAAACUGGGGAGCUUGAGUGGGCGAGACGUAUGCGGAAUGCGUGGUGUAGCGGUGAAAUGCAUAGAUAUCACGCAGAACUCCGAUUGCGAAGGUAGCAUACGGGAGCCCGACUGACGCUGAGGCACGAAGGCGAGGGGAUCGAACAGGAUUAGAUACCCCAGUAGUC
rnacentral:rRNA from 1 species